GUCAAGCUCACCCCUGGAGACAGGAAGCCAGGGAGGGAGAUAUAAACUGCAAAUAGUGUAGGAUCGUCCCAUAAAACUUUAACAGCAACCACCUGAAGGGGAGAGUUGAGUUGUAAAGUGGCCAGGAUCAACCCAUGACUCCUGAAUCUUAAAUCACAGUGGCUUGUGUCGUCUAUCUGAAGCCCAUAUAAUACCAGCUGGGUGUUAUUUACUGGGAGACAGUGGAUACCCCUCCAAACGGUGGCUGCUGGUUCCAUACAGUGACAGAGAAUGCCGGCAUGAUUAUCAAGAAGCGUACAACAGUUAAGAUAUAAAUAAAAGUUAUGAAGUAAAUUUGAAAUACUAUGCCUGUUCAUUAAUGAAACUCAGAAAUAUAGUAUUACAACUUGUCAGUUUGCAAUACUGCUAAGAAGACAUGUCCAUUAGGUAAAUUUAGUUAUUCAUUGUUAGUUUUGGUUAUAUUUAGUUAUGUACUGCUAGCUGUGGGUUGAUGCAGCUGAUUAUGGUUACAUUUUGAUAAAUAAGUCAUGUAUUGUUAGUUUUGAUUAGAUUUCACUAAUGCAUUUGUGGUUAGAUAUAGCCGUUAAUAGAGAUUUGAUUGUGGUUAGAACUACCUGUUUAUACUUUGUUGUGAUUUAACUGUGGUCAGAAUAAUCUGUAGAGAGUAAUUAUUUUCAUCUGUUUAUAAUUAGUCUUGGUUAAAUUCAACUGCUUAUAGUUUGUUGAGGUUAGAAGUACGUUUUUCAUAUUUAUGUUCACCUGUUCAUAAUUUGUUCUGAAUAAAUUCAAGUGUUUAAAGUUACUUGAAGUAAGAAUGACCUUUUUUUUUUUUAUAUUAAAUUUCACCUGUUUAUAAUUUGUUGUGAUUAAAUUCAGCUUUUUAUAGUUUGCUGAGGGUAGAAUAGCCUGUUUAUAAUUAUUUUUGUUUUUGCUUGUUUAUAUUGAGUUUUGUUUAUACUCAGCUGUUUGGAGUUAGGUGACAUUUCAAUUACUUGUUUCUAAUUAGUUGUGGUUAGGUCUACUUGUUUGUUUUUGUGUUGAGGUUAAAUGCAGUUACUUUUACAUAUUUGUAAUGCAUGCCUAUUCAUAGUGGAUAUUAUGUUCAAUUAAUUUAUGGAACUUGCACACCUUUGACAUUAUGGUUACAUUUCAGAGCACACAAACAAACAUGAUGCAUUGUGGAGCGUGGCAUUGGACUACUCAAGUGAAGGUUCCAUGUUCUUCAUGGAGAAGUUCGCUUGAACACAUCAAAGACCUGCCAAGUGAUCACUGCAUGUGGAAUUCUUCAUAACAUAUAUUCUCUUUGAAGAGGAGGAAGAUUUAGGCAAUGAGAACGAAGAUGGUGAUGUGCUCCAGCCUCAUGAUGAGUUACAACCCGGCCAAGGGUUACCUGUCACUGCUGGAGUUUGUUACCGGGAUAAUUUUGCUCGUCUUCACUUUACACAUGAAAUCUAAGUAGUCACUGCCGAGCCCUUUCUUCUGCCCUGGCUGGUGUGGAAAUGUACCUGAGACCAUCAAGUACUUCCUCCCUUACCAUUACGCCUGCUCACCUUCCUGCUGGUGGCCUCCCUCCCACCAUAACUUACUGUUGUCCUGUGUCACCUGUGUCUGGCUGAGGAAGACCUGCAAGCUGCUGGCAUACCUGUCAUACUCCUGCAGGACCAUCCUAGGGCUCAUAAGUAGCAACACAUCUUUGCAGGGGAAAAGUUUCAAUAUAUGUAUUUUUUAUAUAUGUCAAUAAGAUAAUAAAGUACAAAUGAUGCUUGA